GUCGUCGGCGGUGGCGGCAGUCGGCCGUCAUUUAAUCCAUUGGACUGACUUGCGGAUCUCUCUCGGUGUCGCAGUAGCAGGCGCAGUCGCAGUCGCAUUCGCAGUCACAGUUGUUUCUGUCAUCGCUGUUUCUGUUUCUGGUGUCGGUCGCGGCUUCUGUUUGCUCUGCGCUCACAGUGUUGUGUGUGCUGUGUGCCCUGUGAUCUCUGGGGCUCGUCUCAUUCCCGGUCCGGCGAGCGGCACUGAAACAAAGCGAGUCCCAAUCUGCAGAGAUCGUAAAAUUAUAUUUAUUUCGGCCGUUUCGUCGGUCUUUAGCAUAACAAAAGGCCAUCCAACAAAUGAUCGGCCUAAAGGUGUCAAUUAAUUGAACAUUUGUUUGCUCAUAAAAAGGUGCUAAAACUGUUUAAGCUGAAACGUGCCCGGCCAGCAGCUAAUUUCAAUUCACAUUUCUAGGGUGCUUUGUGUGUAUUUGAAGAUGCGCUUCAAUUUCUCGAGCCACUCGGCUGCCCCGGCAGCAGCAACAGCCACUCCAGCGACAACAGCAACAAAUGGCAACGAGAAGGCCUCGGCCACCCAGCCCUUGAAGAGGGCCAUUGAGAACGAUCCCGAUUCGUUGGACAGUGUGAUUAGCAAUCCGCAAUCGUUUCCCAUCACCAUAGUGCCCAAUCGCCCCGCGAGCUUCUAUGGAGUGGCGCCCAAUGGCAAGGCUUUUCAGCGCCAGACGAGCUGCAGAUCUCGCAAUUUUCGUCCUGGAAGCAUGCGGCGGGUGCGCAGAAGAGCCGUGUUCAAGAACGGCGACUGCAAUGUGGUGCAAAAGCAUCUGCAGAGAAGGCGACUGCGCUUCAUGCAGGACAUGUACACAACGAUGGUGGACUGGCAGUGGCGGUGGACACUGCUGGCCUUUGCGCUGAGCUUCAUACUCUCCUGGUUGUUCUUCGCGCUCAUAUGGUGGCUGAUCAUCUACACGCACGGCGAUCUGGAGGAGCUGCACCUGCCGGACAAUCAAGAGGAAUCUGGAUGGGCGCCUUGUGUGUCGGCCAUUGAUGGCUUCACCUCCUGUUUUCUGUUCUCCAUUGAGACACAGCACACCAUUGGCUACGGUGUGCGAACCACUUCCACGGAGUGCCCCGAGGCCAUAUUCAUGAUGUGCUUCCAGUCCAUCUACGGCGUGAUGUCCUCUGCCUUCAUGGCAGGCAUUGUCUUUGCCAAGAUGACCCGAGCCAAGCAGCGGGCACAGACGCUGCUCUUCUCCAAGCAGGCGGUGAUCUGCCAGCGGGACGGCAGUCUGUCGCUGAUGUUCCGUGUGGGUGACAUGCGGAAGUCCCACAUCAUUGGAGCCGGCGUCAGGGCCCAGCUGAUUCGAACGAAGAGCACCAAGGAGGGCGAGGUGAUGACACAGUUCUUCACGGAGCUGGAGAUCGGCAGCGAUGACUCGGGCUCCGAUUUGUUCUUCAUCUGGCCCAUGAUCAUCGAGCACAAGAUCGACGAGAACUCGCCGCUCUACAAUCUGAAUGCCACGGACAUGCUGCACGAUAGGUUCGAGAUUGUGGUCAUACUCGAGGGUACGGUGGAGUCCACGGGCCAGUCCACACAGGCCAGAUCGAGCUACAUCAACACCGAGAUCCUGUGGGGCCACCGCUUCGAUCCUGUGGUGCUGUACAACAAGGAUCUGCAGGCGUACGAGAUCGACUAUGCCCGCUUCAACGAGACCACGCAGGUGGACACGCCUCUGUGCAGUGCUCGGGAGCUGAACGAGAUAUACAAGAUCCAGGAGGGCUUCCGCACACCAGCAGAAACCACCUUCACCAUGCGUCAGCUGUCCCACAACCAUUCCGAUCAGGCCUCCUAGAGCCCGUGCCCCGUGUGUCUCGUCUUUCCAUGUUCCAUGUUGCUAUAGCUUGUAAUCGUCUCUGUUCUAUCUUCACAUACGAUCCGUUCGCGGCACUCGAGUUCCAGUUCCGGCUACCAGUCGCCCCAGGACCGGCGACUGCGCUGGCAGCUCUCGGUGCCCUUGUAGAGGCUCCACUUCACUCCACUCCACUCCACUCUACUCUAUCGACACUUAAGGCAAAGCUAAACUUCUCUUACCCAUACGAAAAUAAGUUAAUAAACGCUCGAGUCCAAAUUGCAUGUCCCUGGAAGUCCAUACAAAUGACACAUAA